rnacentral:rRNA from 1 species
AUUGAACGCUGGCGGCAGGCUUAACACAUGCAAGUCGAGCGGAGAUGAGGUGCUUGCACCUUAUCUUAGCGGCGGACGGGUGAGUAAUGCUUAGGAAUCUGCCUAUUAGUGGGGGACAACAUUCCGAAAGGAAUGCUAAUACCGCAUACGUCCUACGGGAGAAAGCAGGGGAUCUUCGGACCUUGCGCUAAUAGAUGAGCCUAAGUCGGAUUAGCUAGUUGGUGGGGUAAAGGCCUACCAAGGCGACGAUCUGUAGCGGGUCUGAGAGGAUGAUCCGCCAAACUGGGACUGAAACACGGCCCAGACUCCUACGGGAGGCAGCAGUGGGGAAUAUUGGACAAUGGGGGAAACCCUGAUCCAGCCAUGCCGCGUGUGUGAAGAAGGCCUUAUGGUUGUAAAGCACUUUAAGCGAGGAGGAGGCUACUGAGACUAAUACUCUUGGAUAGUGGACGUUACUCGCAGAAUAAGCACCGGCUAACUCUGUGCCAGCAGCCGCGGUAA